rnacentral:lncRNA from 1 species
GUCCAAAUCAAGAAGAAGGAGGCACCUGAUCAACCAUCAAAGAAGGAUCAGCGCAGUACUAGCAUACUAUGCUGAUUUCCUGAAGCAGGACUUCUGAUCGAGAUUCGUGGGCUCGUGUGGAUGACUCCUAGAGGUCGGACGUAUGUGCGGCUUGCAACAUCAUCCUCAAGCCCAGAUCAACAAGGUUAGAACGUCUAACUUGCAAGGUAAUAGAUC